rnacentral:rRNA from 1 species
UGCAGUCGAACGAGAAAGUGGAGCAAUCCAUGAGUACAGUGGCGUACGGGUGAGUAACACGUGGGUAAUCUGCCCUUUGGUGAGGAAUAACCCUGGGAAACCGGGGCUAAUACCGCAUAAGCUCGAGAGAGGAAAGCAGCAAUGCGCCGAAGGAGGAGCCCGCGGCCGAUUAGCUAGUUGGUGAGGUAAGAGCUCACCAAGGCAAAGAUCGGUAGCCGGCCUGAGAGGGCACACGGCCACACUGGCACUGAAACACGGGCCAGACUCCUACGGGAGGCAGCAGUGGGGAAUCUUGCACAAUGGGGGAAACCCUGAUGCAGCGACGCCGCGUGAGCGAUGAAGCCCUUCGGGGUGUAAAGCUCUUUCGGCAGGGAAGAAAGAUGACGGUACCUGCAGAAGCAGCUGCGGCUAACUACGUGCCAGCAGCCGCGGUAAUACGUAGGCAGCGAGCGUUGUUCGGAGUUACUGGGCGUAAAGGGUGUGUAGGCGGUUGCUUAAGUUUGGUGUGAAAUCUCCCGGCUCAACUGGGAGGGUGCGCCGAAUACUGAGUGACUCGAGUGCGGGAGAGGAAAGUGGAAUUCCUGGUGUAGCGGUGAAAUGCGUAGAUAUCAGGAGGAACACCGGUGGUGUAGACGGCUUUCUGGACCGUAACUGACGCUGAGACACGAAAGCGUG